GGUUAAGCGACUAAGCGUACACGGUGGAUGCCCUGGCAGUCAGAGGCGAUGAAGGACGUGCUAAUCUGCGAAAAGCGUCGGUAAGGUGAUAUGAACCGUUACAGCCGGCGAUGUCCGAAUGGGGAAACCCAGUGUGAUUCGUCACACUAUCGUUAACUGAAUACAUAGGUUAACGAGGCGAACCGGGGGAACUGAAACAUCUAAGUACCCCGAGGAAAAGAAAUCAACCGAGAUUCCCCCAGUAGCGGCGAGCGAACGGGGAGCAGCCCAGAGUCUGAAUCAGCUUGUGUGUUAGUGGAACGGUCUGGAAAGUCCGACGGUACAGGGUGAUAGUCCCGUACACCAAAAUGCACAGGCUGUGAACUCGAAGAGUAGGGCGGGACACGUGGUAUCCUGUCUGAAUAUGGGGGGACCAUCCUCCAAGGCUAAAUACUCCUGACUGACCGAUAGUGAACCAGUACCGUGAGGGAAAGGCGAAAAGAACCCCGGCGAGGGGAGUGAAAAAGAACCUGAAACCGUGUACGUACAAGCAGUGGGAGCACCUUCGGGUGUGACUGCGUACCUUUUGUAUAAUGGGUCAGCGACUUAUAUUCUGUAGCAAGGUUAACCGUAUAGGGGAGCCGCAGGGAAACCGAGUCUUAACUGGGCGUUAAGUUGCAGGGUAUAGACCCGAAACCCGGUGAUCUAGCCAUGGGCAGGUUGAAGGUUGGGUAACACUAACUGGAGGACCGAACCGACUAAUGUUGAAAAAUUAGCGGAUGACUUGUGGCUGGGGGUGAAAGGCCAAUCAAACCGGGAGAUAGCUGGUUCUCCCCGAAAGCUAUUUAGGUAGCGCCUCGUGAACUCAUCUUCGGGGGUAGAGCACUGUUUCGGCUAGGGGGUCAUCCCGACUUACCAACCCGAUGCAAACUACGAAUACCGAAGAAUGUUAUCACGGGAGACACACGGCGGGUGCUAACGUCCGUCGUGAAGAGGGAAACAACCCAGACCGCCAGCUAAGGUCCCAAAGUCAUGGUUAAGUGGGAAACGAUGUGGGAAGGCACAGACAGCCAGGAUGUUGGCUUAGAAGCAGCCAUCAUUUAAAGAAAGCGUAAUAGCUCACUGGUCGAGUCGGCCUGCGCGGAAGAUGUAACGGGGCUAAACCAUGCACCGAAGCUGCGGCAGCGACACGAUGUGUUGUUGGGUAGGGGAGCGUUCUGUAAGCCUGCGAAGGUGACCUGUGAGGGUUGCUGGAGGUAUCAGAAGUGCGAAUGCUGACAUAAGUAACGAUAAAGCGGGUGAAAAGCCCGCUCGCCGGAAGACCAAGGGUUCCUGUCCAACGUUAAUCGGGGCAGGGUGAGUCGACCCCUAAGGCGAGGCCGAAAGGCGUAGUCGAUGGGAAACAGGUUAAUAUUCCUGUACUUGGUGUUACUGCGAAGGGGGGACGGAGAAGGCUAUGUUAGCCGGGCGACGGUUGUCCCGGUUUAAGCAUGUAGGCUGGUUAUCCAGGCAAAUCCGGAUAAUCAAGGCUGAGGUGUGAUGACGAGGCACUACGGUGCUGAAGUAACAAAUGCCCUGCUUCCAGGAAAAGCCUCUAAGCAUCAGGUAACACGAAAUCGUACCCCAAACCGACACAGGUGGUCAGGUAGAGAAUACCAAGGCGCUUGAGAGAACUCGGGUGAAGGAACUAGGCAAAAUGGUGCCGUAACUUCGGGAGAAGGCACGCUGGUGUGUAGGUGAAGUCCCUGCGGAUGGAGCUGAGACCAGUCGAAGAUACCAGCUGGCUGCAACUGUUUAUUAAAAACACAGCACUGUGCAAACACGAAAGUGGACGUAUACGGUGUGACGCCUGCCCGGUGCCGGAAGGUUAAUUGAUGGGGUUAUCCGUAAGGAGAAGCUCUUGAUCGAAGCCCCGGUAAACGGCGGCCGUAACUAUAACGGUCCUAAGGUAGCGAAAUUCCUUGUCGGGUAAGUUCCGACCUGCACGAAUGGCGUAAUGAUGGCCAGGCUGUCUCCACCCGAGACUCAGUGAAAUUGAACUCGCUGUGAAGAUGCAGUGUACCCGCGGCAAGACGGAAAGACCCCGUGAACCUUUACUAUAGCUUGACACUGAACAUUGAGCCUUGAUGUGUAGGAUAGGUGGGAGGCUUUGAAGCGUGGACGCCAGUCUGCGUGGAGCCAACCUUGAAAUACCACCCUUUAAUGUUUGAUGUUCUAACGUUGGCCCCUUAUCGGGGUUGCGGACAGUGUCUGGUGGGUAGUUUGACUGGGGCGGUCUCCUCCCAAAGCGUAACGGAGGAGCACGAAGGUUAGCUAAUCCUGGUCGGACAUCAGGAGGUUAGUGCAAUGGCAUAAGCUAGCUUGACUGCGAGCGUGACGGCGCGAGCAGGUGCGAAAGCAGGUCAUAGUGAUCCGGUGGUUCUGAAUGGAAGGGCCAUCGCUCAACGGAUAAAAGGUACUCCGGGGAUAACAGGCUGAUACCGCCCAAGAGUUCAUAUCGACGGCGGUGUUUGGCACCUCGAUGUCGGCUCAUCACAUCCUGGGGCUGAAGUAGGUCCCAAGGGUAUGGCUGUUCGCCAUUUAAAGUGGUACGCGAGCUGGGUUUAGAACGUCGUGAGACAGUUCGGUCCCUAUCUGCCGUGGGCGCUGGAGAAUUGAGGGGGGCUGCUCCUAGUACGAGAGGACCGGAGUGGACGCAUCACUGGUGUUCGGGUUGUCAUGCCAAUGGCACUGCCCGGUAGCUAAAUGCGGAAGAGAUAAGUGCUGAAAGCAUCUAAGCACGAAACUUGCCCCGAGAUGAGUUCUCCCUGAGACUUUAAGUCUCCUGAAGGAACGUUGAAGACGACGACGUUGAUAGGCCGGGUGUGUAAGCGCAGCGAUGCGUUGAGCUAACCGGUACUAAUGAACCGUGAGGCUUAACCUU
rnacentral:rRNA from 1 species